CACUGUAGCUUAAUUUCAAUAUAGUUUCCAAAAGUAUUGAAACUUAUUUACUGAAGGAACCCCGAUACACGCU